GGAAGCUGUAAUAGGAGGUAUGUAGAGAUGCCAGUCACUGCAUUCUCACUGGCAAUGCAAAUUGAAAAUCUUGUAAAUCAAUAUUAAGGCUUAUUAUAUGGAUGGAAGGGGGAAAAGGAGUAACAUAGCUUGCUGAUCUUCACUGAGAACAUAGCUAACCUGCAAGGAAAUAGUGAGUUAACUAAUUGUUUUAAACCAGUCUUGCUCAGAUGCAAAUCUGCAUACAACUGUGCAUGAAAAUUUGGUGGUUUUUUUUUUAAUCUAGUGAAGUUGCUUGUUAUAGCUAAAGGUGUUUUACCCUUCUGCAGCAGUACAGGGGAGAGGUCCUAGUCCUCUGGUCCCUGCGCUUUGGCUCUCUGAUCUGACAGCACCAUUAUUUUGGCUUUUGCUGGGCCUUAUGCUGAGCUGAUUCAAUGCAAAAGCUUGGUAAAACACUACUUGAUCAUACUUGUUUUCUGCUGGCAUAACAAGCUGAAUUAGUUUGGUACAGUCUGGCAAGUACUAAAGUCAGUAGGAAAACAGGACAAAGAGCAGUACCUCCCCUUAUGAUGAUUGCUUAGGGUGCAACUUUGCAUGUGUUUGCAAAGUAAUUAUCCUGGGCUGCCCUUUUUUUCCUUAUAGUAUGUUAUUGCAACCAAAUGAUUACAUAGUCACAACUCCUUACAUGGGCUGUAAUAUAUAUGUAUAUAGCUACAUAUAUGCACAUAUACAGGUAUUGAAUCCAGAUUUGGCAUUAAAUAGGUCUAGGACACAGUAAUAUACUAAGUAUGUUUCUCUAAAAUAAGGUAUUAAGUGGAAAGUGUAAGAAUAGAAACAUUGGAUAUCACAUGUGCUCAGUUACUUUGGCUGCAAUUGUUGCCUGAAAACUUAGAAGUGGGAAGGGAGCUAAUCACACUGACCCUAACUGACCCCAGGGAUAUCCCAUACCAUAUGAUGUUAUGGCCAGCAUAUAAAUCUGGGAAAGAAUGGAGGAAGGGGGGAACGUUUGGAGUGAUGGAGUUUGUCUUCCCAAGUAACUGUUAGCAUGAUGGAGCCCUGCUUUCCUGGAGAUGGUUGAACACCUGACUGCAGUGGGAAGUGGUGAAUGAAUUCUUUGUUUUGCUUUGCUUGUGCACAGCUUCCACUUUACCCAUUAAACUGCCUUUAUCUCAACCCUUGAGUUCUCUCACUUUUACUCUUCUGAUUUGCUCCUCAUCCAGCAAGUGACUGGAUGCUUGAUUGGCAGCUGGGAUUAAACCACAACAGUGACCCAUGAUAACUGGUGGCUCUGUGGGCUCAUUAAUCGCUGACGCUGCUAGCUUCCCUCAGAUUGCCUGAGGCGGGGAGAGAAGCUAGGGCAGGAGCUAGUGCAACUGCUGUAGAGCAAGACAUCUGCAGUCCUGAAUCAGCUCCUGAAUCUGGCUGCUGAGAAAGAACUGCUAUUUUUUCUUCAGAGCAGUCUGUCUCAUCACAGAAAGCUCAUGAAGUGAUUUGAGGGACUGAUUCUGUAAGGUGCUGAGUUUCUGAGUAACUGCUUAGUGAAUGUGCAUAACUCCCACCCAAAGCCAGUGGGAGUUCAGGGUAUUCAUAUCAUUCCAAAUACCCCUUUUUAUUCUUAAAGAUGGCUUGAUAAAAGGAGCUUGUAAAACAAUGAUCUGUUUUCUUUCUGUUCUGCGGUUAUGAAUUUGAACAUAUGCAUGAAAAGGAAAUGGAUAACCGUUUUCUGUUUUAAAAAUGGCUAGAAACAAGCACCAAUGUCAAAGGCAAGGGCAUAUGAAUCUUACUCGAUUUACAUCUGGUUUUAUGCCAAGUGUGUGUGGUUUUGCUAGUUUGAGAAAUCCACUGAAUGGUCUUCACCGAUAACAUUCUUUCGUGUGUUGGUUCAGAGAAAACUGAAAAACUCAAGGUACAAAAUUCUGCAUUUACUGAGUCAUUUACUGCUUUUUGCUAUAUCUGCCUAUUUUUCUGGAUUUAAGAACACUAGCAGCUUAUAAAGAGGGAUUGGUUUUCAUUGCCGUGGAUUUACACAGAGCCACGAAGAGUAUAAACAAAGCCUCUUACUCCAUAGCAAAGGAGUCUGAAAUUCUACAUAAAGUUUCUAGUUGCAGUGGGCUACAACGCACAGUUACAUUAUUUAUUAUGUUAAAAUAGAGGCUUUUAAUAAAUUAAGCUCACAAAUAAAGAUUAAUAGUCAAUAGAGUAGUGCUUCUGAUACUUUGAUGAAAAGCUCUGCAUGUUUUAUGCUGCCUUGCACUUAGUUCUUAAAGCAUCAAAGAUGUUUGUGCUGGAAGUGCGCAAUUGUCAAUGAGAAGCAGUGGGCAGAUGGGGAAGUGGAAUAUGCACAAGAGCUGCGUGUUCCCAAGUCAGCAGUGCAGUAGCAAAUAGCGUAUGACAAGCUGUCUUUUAAGACUUCAGGCUUAAUCAGUUCAGAUCUCAGUCAUUUGCUUCCCUUGGAGUAUGGCUCCAGGACUUUGCAGACUCAAGAAAACAGAACUGGAGCAGAGACAAAUUGAGGUUUGGGGAUUUUUCUUCCCUGAAAAAAGCUGCCUGAGUAUUUUUUUUGUUGUUGUUGUGGUUUUAUUUGUUUAAUUUUGGUUUGGUGUUUUGGUGAUCGCUUUGGUUUUGGUUUUUGUUUUUAAGGAAAAUAACGAAGCCAUGCAGCAGAAGCCUAGUUGAGUUCCUUUAAGUCCUUGCAUUUUUCAGAAGUUUCUCUCCUUAAGGAAGGCUUGUGUGCCAGUUGAUUUCAACUCUGCCUUUUCUCAUUAACAGCCUACCCUUAAGUGAGUUUUAAUUGCAAUAAUAAUUGCACAGGCUAAAGGAGUUGCCCAAAGCUUCUAGAUGACAGUGCAGGUUCUCUCCCAGGUGUCUAGGUAAACAUUUCUUCUGUUUCUGUAUUGAGGGCAGGGAGAUGCUAAAUCACUGUGGUUGCUGCCUCACCCUUAGGGUCCAGCUGUUGAUAAAAUUACAGGCUGGUAUGCAGGAGAACUCAUGCUUGUGCUGGCAUGAGAGAGGGAGCUGGGAGAGGCACAAUAAGGCUGGUUAUUUAGGGCUGUGCCAGUUUUGAUUGCUCAGAGAUAGAAAUGUGACCUAAAUAGUGACCAUAUCCAAGUGUACAAAAUGGAGUAAGAAACACACAGGUUGGGAGGCAAACACAGUAACUAGAAGCUGUCCCUGCUAUAUGUUAAAAGGCCUGAGAUGGCAAAGAGUACAGGAGAAAAUACUGUUUGGAAGGGAAAGCUUUGGUUGUAGGUCUCAGUCUCUCCCGAUAUCAGCAUUUCUGUUUGCUUCCUUAGCACUCAUUUAGCUAACAGCUGUAUUUUUGCCAUCUUCAUAGGGUUAAGCCAGUGGCUUCUUUGACAGUUAUGUGAGUCCAUAGGUCAGUGGGAAGGGAGUAGCAUUUACUCUUUCUCAGCCAAAGUAAUAUGCUUAAAAAUGAGUGAGCUUUUUUAGUGUGAGCUGUAUGUACUGAUGUUGAAUCAGAUUGCCAGUGAAGCAUGGGAAACGCAUCCUGUGCAGCUAGGGACCUGGCACAUUUGGAUAUGCCAAGUAACAUCUUUGCCUUUCUCUCCCAAAAUGAUGCAUGUCCUGAGAAUAUCUCCAGUUGAGAGAGAAUAAUGCUGAGGAGUACUAACAAAAAGGAUUGCAGUCAUCUAUGGACAGUUACACAAGUGGAUAAGCUUGGACAAGCAUACAGUCUACCUGAAGACUCUGACAAACUGUUCCAGAACUGGAUGGAAGUUAAGAAAACUGAAACCAGGAAGGAAGAGCCUAAUGCUGCAUCAUCGCAUAAGCAGCUGAAGGAACGAAGCCUGGCCUACAGAUCAGUGUCCCUAAAGAUUUCCUCAUAGUUGCGGUAUUUAAAAGUGACCUCCCUCUUACAGACUUUCUGAUGUUUAACUUAAUUUUGCAGGCUUUCUCUUGGCUGGAACACUUGUAGGAUCUUCUUCCUUUAAGGAGCCAGUUGCCUGUUUUCAUAGAACUUGAACUUGGUUUAUCCAAUCUUUUGUUUAUCUUUUAUUAAAUUUGUUUGAAAUCAA
ensembl:lncRNA